rnacentral:rRNA from 1 species
GACGAACGCUGGCGGCGUGCCUAAUACAUGCAAGUAGAACGCUGAAGCGAGGAGCUUGCUCUUCUUGGAUGAGUUGCGAACGGGUGAGUAACGCGUAGGUAACCCGCCUUGUAGCGGGGGAUCACUAUUGGAAACGAUAGCUAAUACCGCAUAACAAUGGAUGACACAUGUCAUUUAUUUGAAAGGGGCAAUUGCUCCACUACAAGAUGGACCUGCGUUGUAUUAGCUAGUAGGUGAGGUAAUGGCGCACCUAGGCGUCGAUACAUAGCCGACCUGAGAGGGUGAGCGGCCAGCCUGGGAGUGAGACACGGCCCAGAGUCAUACGGGAGGCAGCAGUAGGGAAUCUGCGGCAAGAGGUGCAAACCUGACCGAGCAACGCCGCGUGAGUGAAGAAGGUUUUCGGAUCGUAAAGCUCUGUUGUAAGUCAAGAACGGGUGUGAGAGUGGAAAGUUCACACUGUGACGGUAGCUUACCAGAAAGGGACGGCUAACUACGUG